AGCGUCAUACCCAAGAAGACUUGAGGCUGUAAUUUCUGCCAAAGGUGCUUCAACAAAGUACUGAGUAAAAGGGUCUGAAAAUGUAUGUAAAUGUGAUUUUAUUUUUUUAGGGGGUAUUGUGAUGUCAUUAUGGGGUAUUGUGUGUAGAAAAAUCCAUUUUAGAAUAAGGUUGUAACAUAACAAAAGGUGGAAAAAGUCAAACGGGUUUGAAUACUUCCCCAAUAUAAAUUUUUUGACUAGAGUCUUAUGGGACCUGCUCUAAAGUAGUGCACUAUAUAGAGAUUAGGGUGCCAUUUGGGAUGUAGAUUAUUUAAAGUGUGGGAAAAUAAUCCACCAACAACAUAACACCCCUCAGCUGACUAGAACUCCCCUCUCCAAUCUCCCCUCCGGCUCCUGUUCAUUAGACACCAAACAGAAUGAAAAACACUUCAAUAGGGACCUGAACUUGUCCAAAAUGAAACACCUGAGUUCUUGUUCAACUGCCAAAUGUUUUGACACGGUGCACACUAAUGAACAAGACCCUGCUGAGGGUCUGGCUUUAUCCUAUUUAAAUACAUGGACCAAACUAUCCACAGCGGUGAGGUACAAAUGAUACAAAUCCCUGAUUAGUAAUGUACUGAAGGACUGAGUGGAUUAUGGAGUGUUAGAUACUGUAGGGGUUUGGAUGGAAAGGAGUGGACAUAAAGUUUACUACUGCAUCCUUCAAUAUAUAAUCCUUCAGAUGGCAAGCAAAGCAGGUAGUACUGUAGUUUAGAAGUAGAGGAAGCAGGCAGUACUGUGGUUUAGAAGUAGAGGAAGCAGGCAGUACUGUGGUUUAGAAGUAGAAGCAGGCAGUACUGUGGUUUAGAAGUAGAGGAAGCAGGCAGUACUGUAGUUUAUAAGUAGAGGAAGCAGGCAGUACUGUGGUUUAUAAGUAGAGGAAGCAGGCAGUACUGUGGUUUAUAAGUAGAGGAAGCAGGCAGUACUGUAGUUUAUAAGUAGAGGAAGCAGGCAGUACUGUGGUUUAGAAGUAGAGGAAGCAGGCAG
ensembl:lncRNA